rnacentral:rRNA from 1 species
AAAGGAAUUGACGGUUUUGCACCACCAUGGAGUGGAGCCUGCGGCUUAAUUUGACUCAACACUGGGAAACUCAUCAGGGCAAGAAGAUUUUAGGAUUGACAGAUUGAGAGUUCUUUCUUGAUUGGUCUAGUGGUGGUGCAUGGCCGUUCUUAGUUGGUGGAGUGAUUUGUCUGGUUAAUUCCGUUAACGAACGAGACCUUAACCUGCUAACUAGUACUUUGAUUUUCAAUCGGAGUUACUUCUUAGAGGGACUAUGUGAUGUAAUCACAUGGAAGUUUGAGGCAAUAACAGGUCUGUGAUGCCCUUAGAUGUCCUGAGCUGCACGCGCGCUACAAUGACACAUUCAACGAGUAUUUCCUGACCCGAAAGGGCUCGGGUAAUCUUUUUAGUGUGUGUCGUGAUAGGGAUAGAUCUUUGUAAUUAUGGAUCUUGAACGAGGAAUUCCUAGUAAGCGCAUGUCAUCAGCAUGUGCUGAUUACGUCCCUGCAAAAUGUACACACCGCCCGU